ensembl:lncRNA
AUGGCUUUCUAUUACCGUUAAAGAUGAUGCACAAAGAUGACAAUUUCUACUUCAGUCAGCUUUAUUUUGCAGCACAGAAUACACAAAGUGAACUGUUAUGAAAUCAACAGCACUUGGAGAAAGCUUAUUAUUUCAAUGAAGAACAUGAGUAAGGCCAUAAAACCUUUCUGCAAGUUUGAAUGCUUCAUGCUUUCCUUCAGUCAGGUGUGAUAAGUGCAAAUGUAUACUGGGGAUUAUUGAUUCUUUUAAUGCAGAUACAUAUCAGUGAAGAAUAUAGGGAUUUCUUACAUCAUGCAAAGCAUCACUGGUUAUUGCCUUCAUAAUAGUACAUGGAAACAACGAAAAACAUUUCUUGUAACGAAGGAAGAUGUAGUCGGUAAAGGUCUCAGUUUUCAGCUCUCCGGUGGGUCAUCUGGUUUUCUUCUGAUCACUGAGACACAUACAGAAAAAAACGUAUUUAACAUUUGACUGGUUGUAAUAGAUCAGUUACUAUAGCAGUUUUCCUGAGUGCAUAGAUGAGUUCUUUUUUGCUCACUUUUUUUUGUUUUGUGUAUCGAAAAAAACAUUUCAGGUUUUCUUCAGAACGGCCCGGGGAGGCAUUGAUGUUGUUUUACCAUUCUGUAAAACCAGAGAGAGAAACAGAGUGUGAUUACAACACAGCCUGCUUCCACAGGCUGCACGUGUUAGACAUGAAAGCAGCGCUGCCUGAGUGAGAUGUUCUUUUGGCAACAUCUAAACUUCUAAAUCAGUUUUUUUUUUUUUUUAAUCUGUAGCAUGCACACAAACAUACAAUGCACAGUGCCUCCCAUUAGACACCUCAUUUCACUUGUUUAUGCUACUUGCAGACAUCUGUGGUAAGUUUACCUUAUUACCAGGAAUAUUAGGGUUGGCCUGUGGCAAAACAACAACAAAUAAUUAAUUUGUGUCAUUUAUAUGCAAGACAAUCUCUUUAAUGGUGAGUUUAUUAUUAGAUCCAUUAAUUUUACCGUGAAUGAAAAAAUAAAGAAAUCUGGUCUUACUUGGCCAAGGAGGGAACAUCCACCAGGCCUCGAGGAACAGGACUGUCGUUUGACUCUUUCUCUUCCCUUUCGUCUGUCAUCCCUGGUUAUUCCCUUCACCAACAAGAGAAUGCUUUAUUCACUAUUGGUCUUAGAAAAUUUAGGAAAAAAUAAUAAAUAAA